UUUUGACUGUGCUAAGGUAGCAUAAUCAAUAGAUUUUUAAUUGAAAUCUGGAAUGAAUGGUUGAAUGAAAUAUAAACUAUUUUAUUUAUAUUAAUUGAAUUUUAUAAAUUAGUUAAAAUGCUAAUAUUAUUAAGAGGGACGAGAAGACCCUAUAGAAUUUAAAUAAUUUUUUAUUUAUUUUUAAUAAUUAUUUAAUUUUAUUUAAUUGGGGAGAUUAUUAAAUUUAUAAAACUUUAAUUUAAUUAAUCAAUAAUUUUUGUUUAUAUGAUCUUUUUUUAUAGAUUAAUAAAAUAAAUUACCUUAGGGAUAACAGCAUAAUUAUUUUAAAAAGUUCUUAUUUUUAAAAUAGAUUAUGACCUCGAUGUUGGAUUAAAAUUAUUAUUAUAUGAAGAUAUAUAAUUUAAUAAGUCUGUUCGACUUUUAAAUUUUUACAUGAUCUGAGUUCAAACCGGUGUGAGCCAGGUCGGUUUCUAUCU
rnacentral:rRNA from 1 species